AGGGAUCAUUACACAACAAAAUAUGAAGGCCUGGCUUUCGCGGCCGGCUGAAGUAUUUUUUUCACCCAUGUCUUUUGCGCACUUGUUGUUUCCUGGGCGGGUUCGCCCGCCACCAGGACCAAACCAUAAACCUUUUUUUCUUAUGCAGUUUCCAUCAGCGUCAGUAAAAACAAUGUAAUUAUUACAACUUUCAACAACGGAUCUCUUGGUUCUGGCAUCGAUGAAGAACGCAGCGAAAUGCGAUACGUAGUGUGAAUUGCAGAAUUCAGUGAAUCAUCGAAUCUUUGAACGCACAUUGCGCCCUUUGGUAUUCCAAAGGGCAUGCCUGUUCGAGCGUCAUUUGUACCUUCAAGCUUUGCUUGGUGUUGGGCGUUUUUUUGUCUCCCUCUUUCUGGGAGACUCGCCUUAAAACGAUUGGCAGCCGGCCUACUGGUUUCGGAGCGCAGCACAUUUUUUGCGCUUUGUAUCAGGAGAAAAGGACGGUACUCCAUCAAGACUCUACAUUUUUCACUUUUGACCUCGGAUCAGGUAGGGAUACCCGCUGAACUUAAGCAUAUCAAU
rnacentral:rRNA from 1 species